rnacentral:rRNA from 1 species
CAGCAGUCGCCACGGGAAUACGUAGGGUGCGAGCGUUAAUCGGAAUUACUGGGCGUAAAGCGUGCGCAGGCGGUUAUAUAAGACAGAUGUGAAAUCCCCGGGCUCAACCGUGGAGGGUCAUUGGAAACUGUUAAACUUGAGUGCAGGAGAGAAAAGUGGAAUUCCUAGUGUAGCGGUGAAAUGCGUAGAGAUUAGGAGGAACACCGAUGGCGAAGGCAGCCCCCUGGGCCAAUACUGACGCUCAUGCACGAAAGCGUGGGGAGCAAACAGGAUUAGAUACCCCAGUAGUCCCUGUCUCUUAUAC